rnacentral:rRNA from 1 species
GUGGGGAAUAUUGGACAAUGGGCGAAAGCCUGAUCCAGCCAUGCCGCGUGUGUGAAGAAGGUCUUCGGAUUGUAAAGCACUUUAAGUUGGGAGGAAGGGCAGUAAGUUAAUACCUUGCUGUUUUGACGUUACUCGCAGAAUAAGCACCGGCUAACUUCGUGCCAGCAGCCGCGGUAAUACGAAGGGUGCAAGCGUUAAUCGGAAUUACUGGGCGUAAAGCGCGCGUAGGUGGUUUUGUAAGUUGGAGGUGAAAUCCCCGGGCUCAACCUGGGAACUGCCUCCAAAACUGCAUGACUAGAGUACGGUAGAGGGUAGUGGAAUUUCCUGUGUAGCGGUGAAAUGCGUAGAUAUAGGAAGGAACACCAGUGGCGAAGGCGACUACCUGGACUGAUACUGACACUGAGGUGCGAAAGCGUGGGGAGCAAACAGGAUUAGAUACCCGUGUAGUCC